UCCAGAUGUUUCCUCCCUGUGAGGAGGAGUCGAUGCAAAACUCAGAUAUCUUCACCUCUACUUAUCUGAGUGCAGAGAGGAGGACAGAGAACAGUGGACACACAGUUUAACAUGAUGGACUAUAGGACAGGACUGCUGCUGUUAACUAUCUGCUGGGCAGGUGUUUGCAGUCAGACUCUGACUGAGUCUGAACCAGUGGUAAAGCGCCCUGGAGAAUCCCACAAACUGACCUGUACAUAUGCAGGACUAUCAGAUAGCAAUGCUGAUAUCAGCUGGAUCAGACAAGCUGAAGGAAAAGGCCUGGAAUGGGUUGCCCACAUUUCUGCUCCAAGUGGAAGCACUAAAGCUUAUUCAACAUCAGUCCAGAAUCGCUUCACCAUAUCCAGAGACAACAACGUGGACCAGGUGUAUCUGCAGAUGAACAGCCUGACGACUGAAGACUCUGCUGUUUAUUAUUGUGCUCGAGAGCCACAGUGA